rnacentral:rRNA from 1 species
GAUGAACGCUGGCGGCGUGCUUAACACAUGCAAGUCGAACGGAAAGGCUCCUGCUUGCAGGGGUACUCGAGUGGCGAACGGGUGAGUAACACGUGGGUGAUCUGCCCUGCACUUCGGGAUAAGCUUGGGGAACUGGGUCUAAUACCGGAUAGGACCGCAUUUUGGAUGGUGUGGUGGAAAGUUUUUUCGGUGUGGGAUGAGCUCGCGGCCUAUCAGCUUGUUGGUGGGGUAAUGGCCUACCAAGGCGUCGACGGGUAGCCGGCCUGAGAGGGUGUACGGCCACAUUGGGACUGAGAUACGGCCCAGACUCCUACGGGAGGCAGCAGUGGGGAAUAUUGCACAAUGGGCGCAAGCCUGAUGCAGCGACGCCGCGUGGGGGAUGACGGCCUUCGGGUUGUAAACUCCUUUCGCUAGGGACGAAGAGUAAUUGACGGUACCUGGAGAAGAAGCACCGGCUAACUACGUG